AACGUACUCCAGAGACGCACUAACUUGCACAGCAUUGAAUGGAAAAGGCUUUGUCCAUGUUUUCUGGAAGCUCCAUUUGAGGGCAUCAAGGACAUACUGAUGGCCUAAACCAGUGUCAGCCUAGACAGACAGACAUCUAUUGCAGUUCUGCUACACAAGACCAAACUCUCUGCUUUUGUAUGGAUGUCUGACUAGUACGGUGUUCUCUAAAGGUAUAACUGGAGCAAAGCAACAGCAUCCGUUACAGUGAAAUUUGUGUUCAUAAAAGAUAGUGAUAUAUGUGUAACAGGUCCAGUACAUUUGUCAUAAAGGUUAAAUCACAGUAAGUACUGUAAAAAUAACUUGUUUGCCUCUGCCACAACAGGUCAUGGUGUGUGCUUACUGCUCGUAGUAAACGCACACGCUGAUCUGAUGCGGGAGAGAUAUAUGCAAACAUAUUUGUAUUUACUGUUUUGUUUUGCCUCACUAAAGUGUUGUUGGAGCUUGGUAUGUUCACAGUUGAAAUCACUGAAGUCACAUGGAACGUUUUGACAAUGUGUUUUGUGCCUUAUCUGGACAAUGACCAUCUUGGGACCAUUGCUGUCUGUAGAGGAUGAGG
rnacentral:lncRNA from 1 species